UGGUGGAUAAUAUGCAGUUGUCCCAGAUGUACAUAAAUAUUCUUAUGGUACCGUUCAGUUAGAACCCUGCUUAUUCUGUUUUCUCCCACAGGGUACUAGGGUCUCAUUCUGUCUCUGGCUUUUUGUAUCGUCUCUCAGUCAUACACUGGGGCUUGAAGCCAAGGCUUUUCCUAAGCUAAGUGGGUGUUUUGUCCACGGAACUAUACACCCAUCCCUAGCUUAGGGUCUUUAUUUAAGUAGCCUGUGACCUAUCUUCCUACUGGGAGUUUCUCUGCUACCAUAACCAUGGUUGAUAGCAAUAGAGUUAAGAAUGCACACAACCUUGCUGGCAAGCUGAACACAUUGCUGAACAGAGCUGAACAUUGUUUAUGUGCAGCAACCCUUAGUAUUCACAUAAAGCAAGGUUCGAUGCUCUGUUAUCACCGAGAAUCCCCAAACCAUCCAGCCAGGUGACACAGCCGUGUCCAAAGGUUUCAUUUGGUUUACAUGUGAUUUGCUCUUUUGGACUGUUUAUUUCUUUUGGUUGCGUUUAAUGUACUACUUAGUUUUUUUUUAAAAUAUCUUAUUAAGAGAUAACCUACAGCCUAUAAGAUGGCGUUGAGGACUGGAGAGGUAGUUUGUUUAAGGCAUUUGUAGAAGCGUUUCAGUUUGGAAUCAUGCAAAAUAUAAACUUCACUUUAAGUGUUA
rnacentral:lncRNA from 1 species